UUUUUACAGCCUCUCUUUCUUUUUGUUCUUCUUCUCCUCUUCUCCUCACCCAAGUCACUCAUUCUUCUUCCUAAUAAGACUAAAAAGACCAUGAAUACUCACAAGUGAACCAUUCUUCUUCUUCUUCUUCUCUUCCUCUUCUCAUCCUUUUUCUUCUUCUUGUGGCAAGUGGUGGCAGCCAUAGACAAAAGAAUUUAAAAUUCAUUCUAACAAAGAAUUAUAAUGGAAUCAACAAGUGAUGCAUCAACCACAAUACCCACACCACCCAAUGAACAUGAACAGAUGCCCAAAACUAUAUUAACAACAGAGCUUCCAUGUAUACCUCGUGCCAUUACUACUAAUACA